rnacentral:rRNA from 1 species
CAGGUAGGCGGUUCGGUAAGUCUUUUGUGAAAGCUCCUGGCUCAACUGGGAGAGGUCAAGGGAAACUACCGGGCUCGAGAUUGGUAGGGGAGACUGGAAUUCCUGGUGUAGCGGUGAAAUGCGUAGAUAUCAGGAGGAAUACCUAUGGCGAAAGCAGGUCUCUGGGCCAUUUCUGACGCUGAGCUGCGAAAGCUAGGGGAGCAAACA